rnacentral:tRNA from 1 species
ACCUGGGUGGCUCAGUCAGUUGAGCAUCUGACUUAGGCUCAGGUUACAAUCUCACUGUUUGUGAGUUCAAGCCUCACAUCAGGCG